UAAACAUAAAAAAUAUCAAUAGGGACAAGUACAAGCAAGGGGGGCUAGGCCUUACCUUACUAAUCCUAAUGAAGUACCUAACUUCUGCUACCUAACAAGCAUGAAGAAAAUAAGAGCUAGAGAAAACUAAGUAUUUUCUGAUCAUCACAGAGUUUAUAAUACACUCCAUGAUGAUAUUACAAAUGAGGAUGCUUAAAUAAUGUAAAAAUAUGUCAAUCAAGAAGAAAGUUGAGUUACC
rnacentral:lncRNA from 1 species